rnacentral:rRNA from 1 species
UCCAGACUCCUACGGGAGGCAGCAGUAGGGAAUUUUUCACAAUGGGCGAAAGCCUGAUGGAGCAACGCCGCGUGCAGGAUGAAGGCCUUCGGGUUGUAAACUGCUUUUAUAAGCGAGAAAUAUGAUGGUAACUUAUGAAUAAGGAUCGGCUAACUACGUGCCAGCAGCCGCGGUCAUACGUAGGGGGCAAGCGUUAUCCGGAUUUACUGGGUGUAAAGGGAGCGUAGACGGCAUGGCAAGUCAGAUGUGAAAGCCCGGGGCUCAACCCCGGGACUGCAUUUGAAACUGUCAGGCUGGAGUGCAGGAGAGGUAAGUGGAAUUCCUAGUGUAGCGGUGAAAUGCGUAAAUAUUAGGAGGAACACCAGUGGCGAAGGCGGCUUACUGGGCUUUAACUGACGCUGAGGCUCGAAAGCGUGGGUAGCAAACAGGAUUAGAUACCCCCGUAGC